GGGUCCAUAGCUCAGUGGGUAGAGCAAUUGACUGCAGAUCAAUAGGUCACCGGAUCGAACCCGGUUGGGCCCU